rnacentral:rRNA from 1 species
UACGUAGGGUGCAAGCGUUGUCCGGAAUUACUGGGCGUAAAGGGCUCGUAGGCGGCCAACUAAGUCAGACGUGAAAUCCCACGGCUUAACCGUGGAACUGCUUGGUAUACUGCUUAUCUUGGGCCACUUAGGGGCUACCGGAACAAACGGUGGAGCGGUGAAAUGCGUAGAUAUCGUUUGGAACGCCAAUGGUGAAAACAGGUAGCUGGGAGUGUGCCGACGCUGAGACACGAAGGCCAGGGGAGCGAACGGG